rnacentral:rRNA from 1 species
AGAGUUUGAUCCUGGCUCAGGAUGAACGCUGGCGGCGUGCCUAACACAUGCAAGUCGAACGGAGCUAUUCAGGAAACUUCCUUCGGGGAGCGGAAUCUUUAGCUUAGUGGCGGACGGGUGAGUAACGCGUGAGCAAUCUGCCUUUGGAUGGGGGAUAACAGCCGGAAACGGCUGCUAAUACCGCAUAAUGCAACGGGAUCGCAUGGUCCUGCUGCCAAAGAUUUAUUGUCCAAAGAUGAGCUCGCGUCUGAUUAGCCAGUUGGCGGGGUAACGGCCCACCAAAGCGACGAUCAGUAGCCGGACUGAGAGGUUGAACGGCCACAUUGGGACUGAGACACGGCCCAGACUCCUACGGGAGGCAGCAGUGGGGAAUAUUGCGCAAUGGGGGGAACCCUGACGCAGCAACGCCGCGUGAUUGAAGAAGGCCUUCGGGUUGUAAAGAUCUUUAAUCGGGGACGAAACAUGACGGUACCCGAGGAAUAAGCUCCGGCUAACUACGUG